GCCACUUCCCCAAGAGCUCACAUCGACGGGAAGGUUUGGCACCUCGAUGUCGGCUCUUCGCCACCUGGGGCUGUAGUAUGUUCCAAGGGUUGGGCUGUUCGCCCAUUAAAGCGGUACGUGAGCUGGGUUCUUAAAAACCCGUAGGUU
rnacentral:ncRNA from 1 species